rnacentral:lncRNA from 1 species
GGAACGGAACCGGAUCAAAAGCUAACUUUCCGACCUCUGGCGAGGGGGGAGAAAAGGGUUGGCUUUUGUUCCGGCGAUCAAAAGGCGGCUUUUACAGAGGGGAGUUUUUCUUCUCCGGUGGAACUCGGGUAGCUUUGCAGGAUUAUUAUUUUUCUCCUGUGAUGAGCUUCAUCGGGUGGCUUUACAGAGGUAUAUCCUUGACGUUCAGGUGGUUGUACUAGUGUAUCGC